rnacentral:tRNA from 1 species
UAUGAAGUGCCUGAAUAAAAGGAUUAUUUUGAUAGAAUAAAUUAUAUGGGCUAUCCAUCUUCAUUG